UAGAAGUCUAACUAAAAGUUUGUACCCCUUAAGUGUGGGUAACAGCUUAAACGGCAAGAAUAUAUAAAAGUAGCAACAGUUUAGUGGGAGCCAAAAAGCACUAGGUUACAUAAUAUCAUACUGUGUUUUUAAAGACUUGAUAAAUGUGUACACUUGAACAGCCAUCAAGAGGGAUACUUGAGCAUUUUAGAGUAGUGGAACUCAAAAUCUAAGAUUCAUCUGGGAUACUUACUAAAAGAAAUGUAGAGUUUUGAAACUCACUCUUAAAAAUAUGUAUUCCCAGGCUAGGCAUGGUGGCUCACACCUGUAAUCCUAGCACUUUGGGAGACCAAGACGGGUGAAUCACUUGAAGUCAGGACAUCAAGACCAGCUUGGUCAACAUGGUGAAACCCCAUCUCUACUAAAAAUACAAAAAAAUUAGCCGGGCAUGAUGGCGUGUGCCUAUAAUCCCAAACCUACUCGGGAGGCUGAGGCAGGAGAAUCGCUUGAACCUAGGAGGUGGAAGUUGCAGUGAGCCAAGAUGGCGCCACUGUAGUCCAGUCUGGGCGGCAGAGUGAGACUCUGCCUCAAAAUAAAUAAAUAAAUAAAAAUUUGUAUUCCAUUGAUUUAGGUAGACACCAGGAAUGUGCAUUUCUGACAAGCUUUCCACGCGAUCCUACAGUAAGUCAUCUAUGGACUACUUUAAGAAACUCUUCUAUAGAGAAUGGAGUUGGAUUAAUAAUAGGUGAUUUUUUACACUGGACUGAUUCACAAGAACCUAAACAGUAGUCCAUGAAGCUGCUCAUCUGUGGUAACUUGUUUGGCCCUUCUCACUCUGAAAGCAGCAGGAGGUGUUUACUUUGUUUCUAUCCCGUUUGUCUGGAGAUUACUUUUGGAAUAAAAGUUUUUCUCUUUAUGCCAUUCCUGGUUCUUUUCCAAAGCCUCAUACAAGAGGAUUAGGUCACAACGCAUGCAUUACCUUUUUAAAAAAUGCAAUGUUGAUACCGAAGCUUAAUUUUUUCUUUUUCUUUUUUUUUUUUUUUUACUACUUGUUUUAUUCCUUCCAGAUAGUAUAGCCCACCUUUCUAUAGCAUAGUUCUCUUCAGGUGGAAUGAUUCCUAUAAGAUUUCUCAUUAUUAAAUCAUGCAUUUUCCAAGAUGGAAUCAAUCUUUGAUUUAAUCUAAUCUAAUAUUCUCAUUUGUUAGAAGAACAACCUACAUGCUAGAGAGAGAGGAGGAAAUAUACCCGUGACCACACAGCCAGUUAGUAGCCAGUUGGUGCUGGACUCCAGCCAGGUGUCCUGCCUCAUGGUAGUUAAAUGAUAUAUAGAAAAGGUAAAUUUUUAAAGAAAUAUUUAUUAAUAUAUUCGUAUAAAACAUUUUAAAGGUAACCACAUAAAAAUGGUUAAUUUUUCCAUUCCAAAGUAAAUGCUAAGCAUGCUUAUUAAUGAAGCAGUACUUCUAAUUAGUAUAUGACAUUCUGAAGUUAAUUAAAUUCAUUGCACUAAAUGUGUCUUCCUUGGUAUAGUGGGGGAUUUGAGGAUUGGAAUAUAGAGUAGAGUGCUUGCUUAAGCCUGGGAGCCCAUCUUAUAGCUAUUUGAUGUAAGAAAAGAGACAUGGCCAUUUCUAAACUAUAUAAGGUGAGUGUCUAUUCCCAGCAGAUAUAAAGGAGAAAGGAAACUUUUUUGACUCCCACCUUCCCAGCCUCACCUAUCCAUCUUCCAGCCUCAAAUAUGGAGAUGUUAGUGCAAGGUGCUGGGCUCUAGGUAAUCAUUUCAUAAGUCCUUUACAGGUAAAGAAAAAGUAGUGUUUGUAUGUUUGUUUUUAAGUAACCCCAAAACAAAUUUAUGUUGUAUUCAGCAAAAUUGGAGUUCAGGUGGUUAAUUUUAGAACAUAAAGUGCCUGCUGUUUUAAGCAUUGACUUGUAUAAAAAGAAUUGCAUGUCUCACUCCAGUAAGCUUAUGGGUUUUCUCAUUUUUAGGUAUAUGGCUUUUAAUCAUGUAAAGUGAAACAUUAGUUUUGUUGCAUUUUAUUACAGGUUAUUUGUUGCAAUAAAGAUGCUGCUGAAAUUAA
ensembl:lncRNA